AAUGAACGCUGGCGGCGUGCCUAACACAUGCAAGUCGAACGAGACCUUCGGGUCUAGUGGCGCACGGGUGCGUAACGCGUGGGAAUCUGCCCCUCGGUUCGGAAUAACACAGAGAAAUUUGUGCUAAUACCGGAUAAUGACUUCGGUCCAAAGAUUUAUCGCCGAGGGAUGAGCCCGCGUAAGAUUAGCUUGUUGGUGGGGUAAUGACCUACCAAGGCGACGAUCUUUAGCUGGUCUGAGAGGAUGAUCAGCCACACUGGGACUGAGACACGGCCCAGACUCCUACGGGAGGCAGCAGUGGGGAAUAUUGGACAAUGGGCGAAAGCCUGAUCCAGCAAUGCCGCGUGAGUGAUGAAGGCCUUAGGGUUGUAAAGCUCUUUUACCAGGGAUGAUAAAGACAGUACCUGGAGAAUAAGCUCCGGCUAACUCCGUG
rnacentral:rRNA from 1 species